GAUCUGACGGUUCUCCGAGCUUUUUGCCCUACGUCAAUGAUAUGGGCAGUUAGCCGUGGUAAUUUUGCCACCGGGGUGAGUAAAGAAAUGCACUCACCUCCCACACUUGGAAAGGUUAACAUGUCCCAACUAC
ncrna:Shewanella frigidimarina NCIMB 400 Moco (molybdenum cofactor) riboswitch